rnacentral:sRNA from 1 species
UGCCAUUCUUUUGUUCUAUGUUUCUAUUUUGACUUUCUUUCUGCAACACGGCUUUAUAGCUUGUUGCAGCUUUCAAACGCCUCUCUCUUUAUCUGAAUGCCUGGUUCCGAGCCCCACUGCAGGCGAACGCCCUUCCCCCAACUUUCUGCAUAGUGGAAGGAGAAUUAACCCUGCAUUUCAUCGCAGGAAGGGGAUUCCGUUCACAAUGAUAUUCCCCACGUCUCACCCGUCAAACCAAGGGGGUACUACUACCAUCUAUCAACUGCAUUGCUCUUGAAGAGAGCGCAAAGCUUUACUAGAUUUAAACAUUGGAAUUGUAACAUUCGACGACUAAUCACAUUAACACUAAGGGUAAGCUACAGUACACUACAUGCGUUCCAGGCAUGGUAUUGAAAUCCCAAUGGCUUGCCCAAAUUUGUUGCUCGCCCAACCGCCUGUAAUUAAGAAAAUGGACUUCGCAGUAAUAAAGCCGGGAUAGGAGAGAAAAUAAAACACGGUGAGAGAUGAAUAAAGAGAAUAUCAAACAGUCAAGCGGCCCCCCCCCCUCCCCCCAAAAAAAACCAGUGAACAUAACAUGCGUUGAAAAAAAUUGAAAAAAAGAAAAAAAAAUUGAAAAACAAGAUGCAGAGAGGACGAAGACAUGCAUAGACCUUUCCCACCGACCAAAGACAUGAGAGAACUGUUGAAGGGACCGAAUAGCCGACCUUGACCUCUUCAACGCCAAAACAAAGUUCCGCAUAUAAGUUCAAGAACUUGAAGAGAUGCCAGACUCAUGUUGGCGCCUCAAGGAGUGAUGAAAUAUUAAAAUGAAUGAGUAGAAGGGGAAAAUGCAAUCAACAAGUACAUGGGUAGAAUGGAAAGUGGAAUGGUGAUGAUGGAAAGCGUAUGAUCUAUUAACAUGACCCGCAUCUACAAUGACCACCCCUCAAAGAAUCACCUGAAGAGAGAAAGGGGCAACAGAGAAACCAUUUUCAGAGAUGCUUCUGCGGAGCAUUACCGUACUCAAAUGGAGUACCAGUACUAAUCCAGUCUUCAAAUUGACCCCCAGCAUCAAUUUGGCCUUCGUUCCAUAUCUCCCGUCCAUCCAUGGGUUGUUGCACAGCAUGAUGGAAACCGGAUUGUGAAUGAUAUCGUUCGUCUUCUUGAGUGGGGAGGCCGGACCGGAGAAACUGUUGCUCUCCAUUGGGCAUUUGCCAGAUAUCUAUUGGACCCUCAUAGUUGGCCCCGUUGUUGGAUGGGAGGCUAGGUUGGCCAUCGAAUUCCAGAAGCUGCGGAUCGACUUGUAAGUCGUUGAGCGAGACUGGGGUCCUUGAUUGUGGGAGCGGCUGCUGUUGGAGCAAGUCGGGAUGUGCAUUGCCUGGGAGGCCGGCCAAGGCUCCUGGUCCGUCGUAUUGCAUUCCUGGAACUCCCAUCUUUUUGAAGGUCACAUCUUCGAUAUUAGGCCCUAGCAUGCUUUGGUGGAUGGAAGGUUGAUAAUAGUGUGUUUGUUCGGGGGAAGAGAGAAUGCCAGGCUGUGGCCGCCCGGGAUUUGACACUUGCCACGACGAUCGGUUCAUGUCGCUAUUCAGAUACAUAUCUCCAUUCUGUUCGAAUGGUGUCCCCUGGCGGCUGUCGUACGAACUAUCGCGGUCCAUGGGCGUAGGGGUGCGGCUUCGAAAGCUCCCAUCUCGGAAUGAGGCGCCAGACAUUUGUCUGGCUGUAUGUUGAUAUGAAGGCAUUGUGAAGUCCGGAUCGUUGACGUCGCCGUUCUCUUCUUCCUUCAGGGGCAAUGACUUCUUCUUCUUGGGGGUGGUCGUGCUUUUGUUAGGCGCGAACUUGUAAUUCGGGUGGGCUUUGUCAUGGUUGUCUCGCUCAAUGUUAGCCAGGCGCUCGUAAUAGUCCCUUAUUUCCUGCGGCUCCUUUGGCCAGCUAACACCAGCUACUCGCGAGACAACCUGAUGAUUAUUCUGAGAGCACCACUCCUUCGUUGCCUCCGCAUAUGCUGAGCGAUAGAGCAUGAAUGAAUUCAUCGGCCGUGCGAUUUUACCCUUUUUCUUCUCAACCUCCUUCAGGCGUUGCUCUGCGGAUCGCGUCACAUGGACCUCCAUGUCCCGUACUGGGAUUCGCAUUUCCUUUAUCAAUUCGCUUAAUGGACGUGGGACGUGGAUGUCGUCAGCGCUACCUCUCUUUGCAGGAUUUCGCUUGCGCAUUCUAGCCGCCCUUCGAACCCGCGUCUUGUUGACGCGGCCUGGGGCAGGAGGCGAAACACUUCGGUUCAGAGGACCCAGGGGUAUUUGCGGCGUGCGCAGAUGCGCCUAUAACAGGUUGAUUAGCAUUGGAAUGAUCAGGAGUUAGUGUAGCUUCGUUUCUCGGAGCUUACCAUUUGCGGGUAAACAACCUCAUCUCGGUUUCUAUAUGGGCCCGGAACUCCAAAGUCGCCCUAUCGGAUCGUUAGAGAACGACGCUGCUUCACAUUUUCUGUCAGAAAUGAGCCAAUUUAACUACUUACGGCGAUUCUCGGUUGUCCGUUUGGGUCCAUCUCAAUGCGAGUAUACUGCAAGGCCGGAGAGUGUGCCAUUUGCACAUACAUAUUGUCAACUUGCAGUUUGCUUUGGAGGUAUGGUGAACCAGCUCGCUGUACUAGACAGUCGUUGAAGCUGUGUGUUAUAUCUCCGUCUAUUGACAGUGGUGGCGUUGGCGGGUGGGCAUUUAACAUCUCUUGCUGACAGUCCUUUUGCUGGCUAAAUGGCGUGGAAAUUCUAGUUUCGCUUUUAUCAGAGAAACUAUAUCGACGAGCUCGCUGCAGGCCACUCUAUCCCGCUAAUUGAGCAGCUGCGCAAAAGGUAGACUUGCGCUUAAGGUAGAGAGUGCAAAUGUUAGGAAGUAAAGCCCUGGCGGUAGGAAGGGUACGAGAUGUUGAAAGGAGACCUUCCUUUCCGGGGAUCUUUUCGGUUGGUAUGAAGGAGUUUUAUGUGUUCUGCUGGGUGGAGUCGUGCGGUACAGUUGCAUUCCUCAGAGCUCAAGCUUUCUGAGGGCUAAAAGGCGAACCGUUACACCACCCUUAUCCUCUGGGGGAAUCGAGACUAUGACUCCGUCUUUAAUUAGGGAGCGAGCCGUCCCGGUCACAGAGCCCUGGUCCCUGAAGCGGCGUGGAUCUGAUUAUUUUUAGUACGGAGGAGGGGCAAGGGGGGUAUCGAUUGACGAGAAGGGAGGCGACGAGCGACGAAUUCUGCAACUAUCGCCGACAGAAAUUUGCUCCGGAUGCGGAAAACCAAAAGUAGGGGGUUGGUAGGGUGGAGUGUAGUAUGGCAGCGGUUCUCCAGAACGGUGGCUUUGGCGCUUUUCCAGAGUCUUUUUUGUUGUUGCUGUUUGAGAAAAGGUGGAUUAUAUUGGGGUAAAGAAAGUUGACGAUGAUGCUAUUUUUGCGAAGUUUCUCUUUUUCUUUGCCCUCUUCUUUAUUUUAUUUUUAUGCCCUUUGCGAAGAUGGUGCAAAGGAACAAUGUUGGAGGGCGAAGAGAAGAAGUGAAGGAAUUGGAGCUUGCAAAGCUUCAGGCCGCGGAUAGAUGGAGCUGUUGCAAUCACCCGCUCUUGUAUAUGACAGCUUCACUCAAUAUCUGACAGGGUCCGCAAGAACAGUGGUUCAGACUCAUGCAGCAGGUUAGGGAACUGAUCUAAACAAGCUUAGCAAUCGGAACCUUGUUAGUUUAAAGCGAAGGGAAACAACGCAGGUACUACUAGUGUGCAUGGACUGGCGGGGGUCUUAGGAAAGGAAAUGUUUCCUUCUCAGGCAAUUCUUUGUUUUGAAGGGGGAAAAGAGGGGGAUGGGGGGAGGGAGGAGGGGGUGAGAGAAAUCUUUGUACUAACCCUACGGAAGCAGCAAAGAGGUUUCUGUUGCUGAAGACAAGAAAGGUGAGUGAUACUGAGAUAGUUCCUUUGUGGUUAUCCGUUCGUUUCGGUUUUGUUUUAUGAGUGUGUUGUUCCUUGCCCGUUUCACAUAGGAGUUGUUAUGUGGUUAGUUGGUGGGAAGUUUGGGGCAGAUGUAGAGGAAGUAUAGCCUGUGAGGGGAAGUUGGGUAAAGGUCAAAGGUCGAAUGGUACGAAUGACGAUGGAGGGUGGAUGGGUAUAUGAAGGGAGAGACGAUCCUCUGGUGAUAUUAGUACUUUAAGAAUGGAAUUCUAGAAGCAAUAUAUUAAGGACAUAUAAGGUAUAUGUAUGUGUAUGUGGCUGUCGGAUGGUGCCACUCACUGGGCUAUUAAUCUGGGGCGAGGAAUUGAUGCGCAGCGGUUUUGAUAUGAGAAAAAUAGAUCGACAAGAGCUGCUUGGCUUACACACAUCGAUUCGCAUUACAGUGCAGCAGAAGAAGAGUUGAGAGCCAACCGGGGGUCCGUAUUUCUAUUUUAUGUCUACCCUCCGCGAUACCAUAUACCAUACUACAACAGACUUUCACCCAUGCUAACCGCAGAAGCAGGGCCAGCAUGAUGC